GACAGGAGGCCUCGAGCGUUAGGCGGAAUCAGCUAGGGCUUAAAGCGGUGUGUAGGCGGACGCCUAAGUACCUUGUGAAAUCCCACGGCUCACCCGUGGAACCGCUGGGUAUACUGGGCGUCUUGGGCCAUUCAGGGGCGACUGGAACAAGCGGUGGAGCGGUGAAAUGCGUAGAUAUCGCUUGGAACGCCGACGGUGAAAACAGGUCGCUGGGAAUGUGCCGACGCUGAGACACGAAAGCCAGGGGAGCAAACGGG
rnacentral:rRNA from 1 species